UUAGUAUUACCUCUGUCACAAAAUUCUUGUCUUUGAUUUAUCUAGAUACAGAUGUAUCUAACAAUAAAACAUGACUAGAUACAUCUGUAUGUAGAAAAAUAUAUGACAAUAAUUUUGGGACAAGGGGAGUAGUAU
rfam:Triticum aestivum genome assembly, contig: Triticum_aestivum_CS42_TGACv1_scaffold_377381_5AL